GAAUUGCAAAUUCGAAAACGCACCCCAAAAGG
rnacentral:tRNA from 1 species